CCCUCGCUGGCGUAACUGGAUUAGCGCACCCGGCUUUUACCCGGUAGGUUCUGAGUUCGAAUCUCAGGCGAGGGACCA
rnacentral:tRNA from 1 species